GCACUUACCUGGUGGGGAAGAUGCCAAGAUUACCAAGGUGGUCUUCCCAGGGUGAGGCUUACCCACUGAGCUCCGAAUGUGAUGAUCCUUUGACUUUCCCAAAUGUGGGGAACUUGACUGCAUAAUCUGUGGUAGUGGGGACUGCAUUCAUGCUCCCUG